rnacentral:rRNA from 1 species
UACGAAGGGGGCUAGCGUUGCUCGGAAUCACUGGGCGUAAAGCGCACGUAGGCGGCUUUUUAAGUCAGGGGUGAAAUCCCGGGGCUCAACCCCGGAACUGCCUUUGAUACUGCGAAUCUCGAGUCCGGAAGAGGUGAGUGGAAUUCCUAGUGUAGAGGUGAAAUUCGUAGAUAUUAGGAAGAACACCAGUGGCGAAGGCGGCUCACUGGUCCGGUACUGACGCUGAGGUGCGAAAGCGUGGGGAGCAAACAGG